GAUGAACGCUGGCGGCGUGCUUAACACAUGCAAGUCGAACGAAGCACUUUAUUUGAUUUCCUUCGGGACUGAUUAUUUUGUGACUGAGUGGCGGACGGGUGAGUAACGCGUGGGUAACCUGCCUUGUACAGGGGGAUAACAGUUGGAAACGGCUGCUAACACCGCAUAAGCGCACGGCAUCGCAUGAUGCAGUGUGAAAAACUCCGGUGGUAUAAGAUGGACCCGCGUUGGAUUAGCUAGUUGGUGAGGUAACGGCCCACCAAGGCGACGAUCCAUAGCCGACCUGAGAGGGUGACCGGCCACAUUGGGACUGAGACACGGCCCAAACUCCUACGGGAGGCAGCAGUGGGGAAUAUUGCACAAUGGGCGAAAGCCUGAUGCAGCGACGCCGCGUGAGCGAAGAAGUAUUUCGGUAUGUAAAGCUCUAUCAGCAGGGAAGAUAAUGACGGUACCUGACUAAGAAGCACCGGCUAAAUACGUG
rnacentral:rRNA from 1 species